GACGAACCGUCCAAACGUUAUUCGGAAUCACUGGGCUUACAGAGUUCGUAGGCGGUCUGGAAAGUUGGGUGUGAAAUCCCUCGGCUCAACCGAGGAACUGCGCUCAAAACUACCCGACUCGAGGGAGAUAGAGGAAAGCGGAACUGAUGGUGGAGCGGUGAAAUGCGUUGAUAUCAUCAGGAACACCGGUGGCGAAGGCGGCUCACUGGCCCGAUACUGACGCUGAUGCACGAAAGCGUGGGGAGCAAACAGG
rnacentral:rRNA from 1 species